ensembl:antisense A830036E02Rik RIKEN cDNA A830036E02 gene
CAGUAUAUUAUGCUGUUUUUGAUUUUGUGACUUUUCCUCUGUGUGUGAGUAUGAUUGCUUACUCCUCAUUUGGAGACAAGAGAAGAAAGAUGAAGAAAUGAUGAAACCGAGAACUUCCUACCAGCAGUGAUCCUUGCAUCCCAGGGAGAAGGCUCCCUAACCAGAAAGAAGACCUCCAUCAUUGCCAGAAAAGAUACACAGAGAGCCACCGCCCGAGCUUCCAGCUAUCCCCAUCCCUAUCCCCAUUCCUCCCGCGCCACCUCUCAGAGGUCCCCCAUAGGCAGAGCCAAGCCCCGGCAAGCAACCUGCAGAGCCACCGCUAAAGCCAGAACUAGAACCGAACAUGGAAGUAGCAGAAAAGAGGCCUCCACAGCCAACUCCAAAGCCAGAGGCCGAUCCCCCAUAGCCGCCGGCAACACUAGAAGCAGAUGCACCCCAAGGUCUGCCUGCCGCCCCAUUCUGUGAGGAAGACCUCCUGGACAGCGCAGAGGUGCAGACUGAAAGCGACAUGCUGUUGCUGGAGAGGUGGUGAACCAAGAGAGACCGCAGUGCUGACACCAGAAGAGUGACGACUGGAGCAUUAAGGAAUCCUUCCGAAGCCCCAUGCUUCCUGAAGCUCUGUCCUCCCCUCCCCUGUCUAUUUCUUUCGAUUCAAUAUAAGCCAACCAACCAUGCUGUGGUUCUCUCUGUAGGGACAGUUUCAGAGGCAGAUGAAGAGCGCAUUCCUGGAAGUGAUAGAGCGCGGAUUCUUCCUCGUUCAGCAAGAGCAACACUCACCUCGUCCAGGUAGUGUUGGCCCUUAUUCAGCCUCCCCAGAGGCGAAAUCUUAAAUCUGGUGUCGUACCAAGCCAGAGUGAGAGCUGCCUAUUGGGCACUCGGGAGCACAUGCAGAAGGUCACAGCUGAGCUUCAUGGCAGGCCUCCGUAAGAAAUACCCAGGACAGGGGCUGGAGAGAUGGCACUGACUGCUCUUCCAGAGGUCCUGAGUUCAAUUCCCAGCAACCACAUGGUGGCUCAUAACCAUCUGUAAUGGGGGUCCCAUGCCCUCUUCUGGUGUGUCUGGAAACAGCUACAGUGUACUUGCAUAAAAUAAUCUAAAAAAAGGAAGAAAGAAAGAAGGAAAGAAAACCCAGGAUCAAACAGACUGACUUCUUUUCAAAUCACUUUCCCAGGGUCAGGAACACUGAACCCGGAGUGACAGCUACUGACAACUCCCCUUAACCUUGUUAAAUAAGGAACAUGUGCAAGGGACACAUUCUCCUCCCAACCUAUACACAGUCACAAAGAAAGAGCGGGGCUUCAAAGCAAGAAGUUUGCAGAAAUGAUACAUUUAUACUGUAAAUGUAUGCCUGGGAAGCACCAGCAAUCUCAGGCAGACAAGGUUUGACGACACAGUCUGCAAUCCACUUGCCUCAUUUGUAGGGAGCGUGGGAAGUUGUGAACUGAGAUGCCAAGACCCGCAGUUUCAGAUGGAGGCUCCACUAAGGGUUCCUCUAAUCUAUGGGCUGAGCUCGUCCUUGUUUGAACUGACGUCAGUUCCCAUGUUCCUGCUGUCAUCCAGACACUGGAUCAAGCGAGUCGCAGACCUUGUGUUUCAGAGAGCUCCUAUGAUGUUGCUUUUAUCUCCUUUUACAAAAGAACCAUCUCAGAGUCAGGACAUUGACUUAUUUAAGGCAGAGAGAGAAAUCAGCUCUUUAGUAUAGUCUACAGACAGCGCAACCCUGAUGCUUCUCUUGGCGAAAUACAAAGGACACCAGGUGACUGUGACCUCCUUAACUGUGAGAUUGGAGUUCUCACCCACACAUCAACCAGAAACUCUGACUCUGUCCUUCCUGGAACUUCUCGGGGGCACAGCCCAAGACCACAAAAUGAUUUUCUGUGGCCUAUGAAAAAUGACACCCUGUGAGACUUUGCCAGUGCUAAGGCAGAUGUGUCUUUAGUUUGGGUUUUGUCCUCUGGCCUCAUCUCCAGACAUAUGACAAAGCAUAAGUGAGUGACAUUGUGGUUGUUUCCUGUGACUCACAAGCAACACUCUCGCAAGGCAGAGUGGCUCCAUUUUACCACCAUAGAAACAAACAGGGGCUGUUGCUUGCUACAUCAUCAAAAGGGAUGUGCCCCAAACACAACGUCCACUUAGCAGUUACAAGCAGCUAAUAACGUAAUGUGAAUAGCAUGUAUUUUUGAACUUGGAGUCAAUUUUGUCCUGAAAUGCAUGCUUUACAUCCUUAAUGCUAAUAUGUAUAUAUUUACAUAUAUUUAAUUUAAUUUUAAUUUUCUUGACCGGGCUUCACUGUGUAGCCUUGGCUGUCCUGUAGAUCUCUGUAGAUCAAGCUGGUCCUGAACUCUCUGAGAUCUGUCUGCCUUUACCUUCCAAGGACUAGGACUAAAGGCAUGUGCCAACACUGCCUGGCUGUAUAUUUUAAGUAAAUUUGCUUCAUAGCCUGCAUUAGGCUUUUAUAAUAGGCAUUUAUGUUUCUACACGGGUAUGCUCCUGAACUGUAGGCUUCUAAAGUAGAGGUGUCUAACUGAUGUUUUACCCUGAGUCCCAGCCUAUUCUUUGACUAAAAACCUUCAUUUUAUACCCAGAGUUGUUUUGCUUGAAAUAAUUUAUUUGUAAUUUGCUUAAAUGUGUCACUGAAAAUGCACUUCAAAAUCAUCAUGCCCCACUCUCUGGGAUGCUUGAUUAAGUCUUAUUCUGAACUCAUGUAUAAGGGGAUAACUUGGAAGAUGGAAAGAGACAGCUUUCUUUUUCAAUGACUAUUUGGAAAGGC